GGGAAGGUGGCUCAAUGGUAGAGUGACUGCCUUACAUGCAUGAGGCCCUGGGUUCAAUUCCUCAGCUCCA
rnacentral:tRNA from 1 species